rnacentral:lncRNA from 1 species
ACUAAUCCCAGUUUCUGACGAUAACUGAUAUCUUCAAGCACGUUCGGGAUACCCAUAUGACUAGCGUCAUUGCUCCACCUAUUCAAACAAUAUGUUAUUCAAAAAAUAUAAUAAUGAAAAAAAUAUGAUAACUAUAUUAUUAAAUAAAUAUUACCUUAUUACGAGUGGGAAUUGAUAAAAGAAGUUUACUUUGUGACGUAAAAAUGAUAAAUGAUACCAUGCCCAUGACUGAAGAAGGAGUACACAACUACUGAUUUUAAUUUUUGUGCUUCAAUUUCCCACCACAUCUCUCCGUAUAAUGUAUACAAUAUAAUUGAUCCCCAAUUGAGUCGUCCAACUUCUUUUAAGUCAAUUAAUUGUAAUAGCCACCUUAAAUGUACUAAAUUUCAAGACUUAUUUGAUAUUAAAAGACCUCCGAUCAACCUUAGUGCGGUUUGGAGAAUAUAAUUGAAUGAAAAAAAUUAAAAUUAUAAGGUAUAUAUAGAAAAAAAAUGGACCGUUGGAAAAAUGUGACCGUUGGUCCAAUUAGCCGUUGGUUUCAAUGGUUAGAAAAUCAAGAAAUGUGACCGUUGGUCUAAGUAGUCGUUGGUCUCAACGGUUAGAAAAUCAACGAUGGUGAUUUUUUAAUUGUUAGCAAUCCAACGAUAAAAAAAUUAAUUUUAGAACAAAACAAAAUUACGUGGCAAAAACGCAUCUUAUUGGAUACGUUUCAAAAUAAAUGAACUAAAUUCCUAAUUUUAAAAAAUUGAAAUAAAUGGUUAAUUUUCCCUAAAAUGGAAAGGAGAUUAAAUACAGAAACAGAAGAUAUGAGAUUCUUAGCUUUGACGAUAAUGGUCCAUUGGCCAAUUAAAAAAGGAAAAUUACUUUUAAAGGCUUCUGGAAAUCGUAUAACUGGCGAUGCUGGAUUUUAGCAUUAAAUUAAAAUUAAAAAAAAAUGCUAAUGAGAAUAACAUCUUAUAAUGUCUCUAAAAAAAGUUGUGGUUUAAUUGCAUGCUCUGUGGCUAAUUUUAAUAUUGCAUUAAAAAUAUGUAUUACCAUUACUUAUUAUAGUUUUAGUAUCUUAAUUGAAAAAAUAUUUGUUGCUACAGAAAACCUUUUUAUGCCUAUGAUACCUCCAUUUUUAGAAACAUAAUAUCCCCAAAUCGGAGCAUUUUAGGGAACGCUGAAAUAUGAUGAAUUUUAAGUAUGGAAAUUAUACCUCAACAUGGGUUACGUCAUAUCUCAGGUAAGAUAUUUUGGUUUGGACCCAACCGACUUGAAUUUGUCUAAAUUUUUUUUCUGCUCUUGUUUUUGCUGUCAUUUUAGUAUUAUAUUAUUAUUAUUAUAUUGUUAUUGUUUGAAUAUUGUAUAAGUUUAAUUUUAUUAUUAGUUUUACUAUUAUUUUAGAUGUUUUUACUUGCUAAUUUGUAACUAUUUUAGUGUUGUUUAAGUAUAAAAAUAUUUUUAAAAAGUAUUUUCAAUUUGUUUGGAAACAUUUAUUUUAAUGUUUUUAGUGUAUUUGAUAUAUUAUAUUUUUUAAUUUUUUUAUAUAAAAAAUGAUAUAAAAUUUUUUAACAUUUUUUUAUCUUGAAUCUAUUUUUUGAGUUGGACUUAGAACCUAAAAAAACAAGCCUCAAUUUUUACAUCGACCCAACCCAUGAUUAAGUCUACUGAAAGCUUUACAUUUUUAAAUAAAAUUACUUUCAACAAUUAAAAAAAAAAGUUAUCAUCAACAAUCCUAGUUCAAUAACUUAAAAACAAACCAUGAAUUGGCUAAAAAAAAAAAAAGGAAAAUCAAGGAAUAUUACCUCCAUCUAAAACACAAGAGCGAGAUGGGAAAAUUAGUAUUGACUCCCAUGUAUUUGUAGUUUUUGAUUAUGUACCCCUGGUAAAAUACUUAAAAUCAACCUUUUCAUGGUAGAAUAGGCUAAAA